rnacentral:lncRNA from 1 species
AAAAAAAAAAAGGGGUCGGAUUGUAUAAUUGGUGAAGGGGAACUGUUUUUGAAUUCAAAAACAAAGUGAGAGAACCCGUGAAAGAGAGAGAGAGAGAGAGAGAGAGGAAUUUUGACCCGUUGACCCGAAAACCCGACCCGGACCCGCGAUAUUGACCCAAACGGAUCUCCUAAUUCCGGCCACCUUACCGGUCGUGCUUGGUACCGAUCUGAAGCUUGGAAGCCGACCUUCGUAUCCCCGUGGUCCUCGUCGCCGAAAAUCGACCAGAACGCCGACGAUUUGAGCUCGAAAGUCGCGGCCAAGAUCCUUUUCCGUCGCCGUUGAUUCCGCCGGGUUUGUGACGCGCCACCACUUGGAACUGGUUCCUCACAUCUCCAGCAACAAUUUCUGACCAACCACGACCACCAGGGACGCCGGAAAAUCGUCGAACGACUACUGGAAAGUUUCAGAUUUUUUUGGAGCUUCGAUCCGCCGCCGGCAGCGUGCGUGGCGACUCACGGGCACCACCAUUGCACUCACCGAGGUCGGAACUAGCUGACCUAAGCUCCCCGUCAUCGUUGACUGAAGUCUGGUCACCGUUGACCGGCAGGGGCAAUUCGGUAAAUUCAUGAAACUUUGGGGUGAAUUUAUAAUUUUAUGUAAUUAGUGGACAUUUUGGUAAUUUUGAGUGAGGGCAAUGAAGUAAUUUAUGCUUUCGAGGGUAAUUCGGUAAUUUAAGACGUUAAGGACAUUUCGGACCUAAGCUCCCCGUCAUCGUUGACUGAAGUCCGGUCACCGUUGACCAGCAGGGGCAAUUCGAUAAAUUCAUGAAACUUUGGGGUGAAUUUGUAAUUUUAUGUAAUUAGUGGACAUUUUGGUAAUUUUGAGUGAGGGCAAUGAAGUAAUUUAUGCUUUCGAGGGUAAUUCGGUAAUUUAAGACGUUAAGGACAUUUCGAUAAUUUUAUGCCCCGAGGGUAAUUUCGUAAUUUUGGACAAUGUGAUUAAUUUAUGUAAUCUGAAUUGAGGACAAUAUGGUAAUUGACGAAUAUGAGGAUAAUUUGGUAAAAUAAUGAAGUUUGAGGAUAAGUUGGUAAAAUAUUGAUGUUGGGGGUAUUUUGGUAAUUUUGGCAUGUAGGGGCAUUUUGGUAAUUUUACUCAUGCGGGAAUAGUUUAUCGUUAAUAGAGAUUUGAUUCGAGAUUUAUUAUAUUAAAUUGGUUGUAUUUCUAUUUACGGAGAAUAAUUAUAGUGUUUCUGUGAUUAGGAGGAUCCGCAUCCGCGAACGAGA